UAGGGAAUCUUCCACAAUGGGCGAAAGCCUGAUGGAGCAACGCCGCGUGAGUGAUGAAGGUUUUCGGAUCGUAAAACUCUGUUGUUAGGGAAGAACACCCGAGAGAGGAUCUCGGACUGACGGUACCUAACGAGAAAGCACCGGCUAACUCCGUGCCAGCAGCCGCGGUAAUACGGAGGGUGCAAGCGUUAUCCGGAUUUAUUGGGUUUAAAGGGUCCGUAGGCGGACUUAUAAGUCAGUGGUGAAAGCCUGUCGCUUAACGAUAGAACUGCCAUUGAUACUGUAAGUCUUGAGUAUAUUUGAGGUAGCUGGAAUAAGUAGUGUAGCGGUGAAAUGCAUAGAUAUUACUUAGAACACCAAUUGCGAAGGCAGGUUACCAAGAUAUAACUGACGCUGAGGGACGAAAGCGUGGGGAGCGAACA
rnacentral:rRNA from 1 species